rnacentral:rRNA from 2 species
GGUUAAGCGACUAAGCGUACACGGUGGAUGCCCUGGCAGUCAGAGGCGAUGAAGGACGUGCUAAUCUGCGAUAAGCGUCGGUAAGGUGAUAUGAACCGUUAUAACCGGCGAUUUCCGAAUGGGGAAACCCAGUGUGAUUCGUCACACUAUCAUUAACUGAAUCCAUAGGUUAAUGAGGCGAACCGGGGGAACUGAAACAUCUAAGUACCCCGAGGAAAAGAAAUCAACCGAGAUUCCCCCAGUAGCGGCGAGCGAACGGGGAGCAGCCCAGAGCCUGAAUCAGUGUGUGUGUUAGUGGAAGCGUCUGGAAAGGCGUGCGAUACAGGGUGACAGCCCCGUACACAAAAAUGCACAUACUGUGAGCUCGAUGAGUAGGGCGGGACACGUGGUAUCCUGUCUGAAUAUGGGGGGACCAUCCUCCAAGGCUAAAUACUCCUGACUGACCGAUAGUGAACCAGUACCGUGAGGGAAAGGCGAAAAGAACCCCGGCGAGGGGAGUGAAAAAGAACCUGAAACCGUGUACGUACAAGCAGUGGGAGCACGCUUAGGCGUGUGACUGCGUACCUUUUGUAUAAUGGGUCAGCGACUUAUAUUCUGUAGCAAGGUUAACCGAAUAGGGGAGCCGAAGGGAAACCGAGUCUUAACUGGGCGUUAAGUUGCAGGGUAUAGACCCGAAACCCGGUGAUCUAGCCAUGGGCAGGUUGAAGGUUGGGUAACACUAACUGGAGGACCGAACCGACUAAUGUUGAAAAAUUAGCGGAUGACUUGUGGCUGGGGGUGAAAGGCCAAUCAAACCGGGAGAUAGCUGGUUCUCCCCGAAAGCUAUUUAGGUAGCGCCUCGUGAAUUCAUCUCCGGGGGUAGAGCACUGUUUCGGCAAGGGGGUCAUCCCGACUUACCAACCCGAUGCAAACUGCGAAUACCGGAGAAUGUUAUUACGGGAGACACACGGCGGGUGCUAACGUCCGUCGUGAAGAGGGAAACAACCCAGACCGCCAGCUAAGGUCCCAAAGUCAUGGUUAAGUGGGAAACGAUGUGGGAAGGCCCAGACAGCCAGGAUGUUGGCUUAGAAGCAGCCAUCAUUUAAAGAAAGCGUAAUAGCUCACUGGUCGAGUCGGCCUGCGCGGAAGAUGUAACGGGGCUAAACCAUGCACCGAAGCUGCGGCAGCGACGCUUAUGCGUUGUUGGGUAGGGGAGCGUUCUGUAAGCCUGUGAAGGUGUGCUGUGAGGUAUGCUGGAGGUAUCAGAAGUGCGAAUGCUGACAUAAGUAACGAUAAAGCGGGUGAAAAGCCCGCUCGCCGGAAGACCAAGGGUUCCUGUCCAACGUUAAUCGGGGCAGGGUGAGUCGACCCCUAAGGCGAGGCCGAAAGGCGUAGUCGAUGGGAAACAGGUUAAUAUUCCUGUACUUGGUGUUACUGCGAAGGGGGGACGGAGAAGGCUAUGUUGGCCGGGCGACGGUUGUCCCGGUUUAAGCGUGUAGGCUGGUUUUCCAGGCAAAUCCGGAAAAUCAAGGCCGAGGCGUGAUGACGAGGCACUACGGUGCUGAAGCAACAAAUGCCCUGCUUCCAGGAAAAGCCUCUAAGCAUCAGGUAACAUCAAAUCGUACCCCAAACCGACACAGGUGGUCAGGUAGAGAAUACCAAGGCGCUUGAGAGAACUCGGGUGAAGGAACUAGGCAAAAUGGUGCCGUAACUUCGGGAGAAGGCACGCUGAUACGUAGGUGAAGCGACUUGCUCGUGGAGCUGAAAUCAGUCGAAGAUACCAGCUGGCUGCAACUGUUUAUUAAAAACACAGCACUGUGCAAACACGAAAGUGGACGUAUACGGUGUGACGCCUGCCCGGUGCCGGAAGGUUAAUUGAUGGGGUUAGCGCAAGCGAAGCUCUUGAUCGAAGCCCCGGUAAACGGCGGCCGUAACUAUAACGGUCCUAAGGUAGCGAAAUUCCUUGUCGGGUAAGUUCCGACCUGCACGAAUGGCGUAAUGAUGGCCAGGCUGUCUCCACCCGAGACUCAGUGAAAUUGAACUCGCUGUGAAGAUGCAGUGUACCCGCGGCAAGACGGAAAGACCCCGUGAACCUUUACUAUAGCUUGACACUGAACAUUGAGCCUUGAUGUGUAGGAUAGGUGGGAGGCUUUGAAGUGUGGACGCCAGUCUGCAUGGAGCCGACCUUGAAAUACCACCCUUUAAUGUUUGAUGUUCUAACGUGGACCCGUGAUCCGGGUUGCGGACAGUGUCUGGUGGGUAGUUUGACUGGGGCGGUCUCCUCCUAAAGAGUAACGGAGGAGCACGAAGGUUGGCUAAUCCUGGUCGGACAUCAGGAGGUUAGUGCAAUGGCAUAAGCCAGCUUGACUGCGAGCGUGACGGCGCGAGCAGGUGCGAAAGCAGGUCAUAGUGAUCCGGUGGUUCUGAAUGGAAGGGCCAUCGCUCAACGGAUAAAAGGUACUCCGGGGAUAACAGGCUGAUACCGCCCAAGAGUUCAUAUCGACGGCGGUGUUUGGCACCUCGAUGUCGGCUCAUCACAUCCUGGGGCUGAAGUAGGUCCCAAGGGUAUGGCUGUUCGCCAUUUAAAGUGGUACGCGAGCUGGGUUUAGAACGUCGUGAGACAGUUCGGUCCCUAUCUGCCGUGGGCGCUGGAGAACUGAGGGGGGCUGCUC